rnacentral:rRNA from 1 species
UACGAAGGGGGCUAGCGUUGCUCGGAAUCACUGGGCGUAAAGGGUGCGUAGGCGGGUCUUUAAGUCAGGGGUGAAAUCCUGGAGCUCAACUCCAGAACUGCCUUUGAUACUGAGGAUCUUGAGUUCGGGAGAGGUGAGUGGAACUGCGAGUGUAGAGGUGAAAUUCGUAGAUAUUCGCGAGAACACCAGUGGCGAAGGCGGCUCACUGGCCCGAUACUGACGCUGAGGCACGAAAGCGUGGGGAGCAACAGG